rnacentral:rRNA from 1 species
AUUGAACGCUGGCGGCAGGCCUAACACAUGCAAGUCGAACGGCAGCACAGAAGAGCUUGCUCUUUGGGUGGCGAGUGGCGGACGGGUGAGUAAUGUCUGGGAAACUGCCCGAUGGAGGGGGAUAACUACUGGAAACGGUAGCUAAUACCGCAUAACGUCGCGAGACCAAAGUGGGGGACCUUUGGGCCUCACACCAUCGGAUGUGCCCAGAUGGGAUUAGCUAGUAGGUGGGGUAAUGGCUCACCUAGGCGACGACCCCUAGCUGGUCUGAGAGGAUGACCAGCCACACUGGAACUGAGACACGGUCCAGACUCCUACGGGAGGCAGCAGUGGGGAAUAUUGCACAAUGGGCGCAAGCCUGAUGCAGCCAUGCCGCGUGUAUGAAGAAGGCCUUCGGGUUGUAAAGUACUUUCAGCGGGGAGGAAGGCGGUGAGGUUAAUAACCUUGCCGAUUGACGUUACCCGCAGAAGAAGCACCGGCUAACUCCGUGCCAGCCGCCGCAGUAA